rnacentral:rRNA from 1 species
AUGGAGAAUGGGGAGAUCGAGGCCGCAGAGGAAGGGUUGCUGGUGCCAGCGCCACCCAACGGGCGACGCUACCGACCGGUGGGCUCGGACGACAGCGCCGUCAUCCACAUGACCUCCAUGGAGCCCAGCCUCGGCUCCACCUCUGUCACAAGCCAUGACGCCGUAACACCCCAGCCGCCAAGGUGA